rnacentral:tRNA from 1 species
ACCUGGCUGGCUCAGUCAGUAGAGCAUGUGACUAUUGAUCUCAGGGUUGUGAGUUUGAGCCCCUCGUUGGGAA